rnacentral:rRNA from 1 species
AUUGAACGCUGGCGGAAUGCUUUACACAUGCAAGUCGAACGGUAACAGGUCUUCGGAUGCUGACGAGUGGCGAACGGGUGAGUAAUAUAUCGGAACGUGCCCAGUCGUGGGGGAUAACGUAGCGAAAGUUACGCUAAUACCGCAUACGAUCUAUGGAUGAAAGCGGGGGAUCGCAAGACCUCGCGCGAUUGGAGAGGGCGAGAUCAGAUUAGGUAGUUGGUAGGGUAAAGGCUCACCAAGCCAACGAUCUGUAGCUGGUCUGAGAGGACGACCAGCCACACUGGAACUGAGACACGGUCCAGACUCCUACGGGAGGCAGCAGUGGGGAAUUUUGGACAAUGGACGCAAGUCUGAUCCAGCCAUUCCGCGUGCAGGAUGAAGGCCCUCGGGUUGUAAACUGCUUUUGUACGGAACGAAAAGGUCUCUCCUAAUACGAGGGGCUCAUGACGGUACCGUAAGAAUAAGCACCGGCUAACUACGUGCCAGCCGCCGCCGUAACAC